rnacentral:rRNA from 1 species
ACGUAGGACACAAGCGUUAUCCGGAGUUACUGGGCGUAAAGGGCGUGUAGGCGGACCUAUAAGUCUAUUCUGAAAGCUCCUGGCUAAACUGGGAGAGGCGAAUGGAGACUGUAGAUCUAGAGUGAGGAAGAGGAAAGUGGAAUUCCGCGUGUAGUGGUGAAAUGCGUAGAGAUGCGGAGGAACACCAGUGGCGAAAGCGACUUUCUGGUCCUUAACUGACGCUGAGGCGCGAAAGCAUGGGGAGCGAACGGG